AUUGAACGCUGGCGGCAUGCCUUACACAUGCAAGUCGAACGGUAACGGGCCUUCGGGUGCCGACGAGUGGCGAACGGGUGAGUAAUACAUCGGAACGUGCCCGAUCGUGGGGGAUAACGAGGCGAAAGCUUUGCUAAUACCGCAUACGAUCUACGGAUGAAAGCAGGGGACCGCAAGGCCUUGCGCGGACGGAGCGGCCGAUGGCAGAUUAGGUAGUUGGUGGGAUAAAAGCUUACCAAGCCGACGAUCUGUAGCUGGUCUGAGAGGAUGAUCAGCCACACUGGGCCUGAGACACGGCCCAGACUCCUACGGGAGGCAGCAGUGGGGAAUUUUGGACAAUGGGCGCAAGCCUGAUCCAGCCAUGCCGCGUGCAGGAUGAAGGCCUUCGGGUUGUAAACUGCUUUUGUACGGAACGAAAAGCCUUCUUUUAAUACAGGAGGGUCAUGACGGUACCGUAAGAAUAAGCACCGGCUAACUACGU
rnacentral:rRNA from 1 species